AACGAACGCUGGCGUCAUGCCUAACACAUGCAAGUCGAACGUUGCUUUCGGGCAUAGUGGCGCACGGGUGCGUAACGCGUGGGAAUCUGCCCUUGGGUUCGGAAUAACAGUGAGAAAUUGCUGCUAAUACCGGAUGAUGUCUUCGGACCAAAGAUUUAUCGCCCAGGGAUGAGCCCGCGUAGGAUUAGCUAGUUGGUGGGGUAAUGGCCUACCAAGGCGACGAUCCUUAGCUGGUCUGAGAGGAUGAUCAGCCACACUGGGACUGAGACACGGCCCAGACUCCUACGGGAGGCAGCAGUGGGGAAUAUUGGACAAUGGGCGCAAGCCUGAUCCAGCAAUGCCGCGUGAGUGAUGAAGGCCUUAGGGUUGUAAAGCUCUUUUACCCGGGAUGAUAAUGACAGUACCGGGAGAAUAAGCUCCGGCUAACUCCGUG
rnacentral:rRNA from 1 species